rnacentral:rRNA from 1 species
GUAGGGGGCAAGCGUUAUCCGGAAUUACUGGGUGUAAAGGGUGAGCAGGCGGUUAAGCAAGCCAUAUGUGAAAGUCUAAGGCUUAACCUUAGGAAUGCAUAAGGAACUGUGUAACUAGAGUGCAGGAGAGGCAAGUGGAAUUCCUAGUGUAGCGGUGAAAUGCGUAGAUAUUAGGAGGAACACCAGUGGCGAAGGCGACUUGCUGGACUGUAACUGACGCUGAGUCACGAAAGCGUGGGGAGCAAACGGGAUUAGAUACCCUGGUAGUCCACGCUGUAAACGAUGAGUGCUAGGUGUUGGUCAGGAAUGAUCGGUGCCGUAGCUAGCGCAAUAAGCACUCCACCUGGGGAGUACGACCGCAAGGUUG